CCUACGGGAGGCAGCAGUGGGGAAUAUUGGACAAUGGGCGAAAGCCUGAUCCAGCAAUUCCGCGUGUGUGAAGAAGGCCUUCGGGUUGUAAAGCACUUUAGUUGGGAAGAAACAGCUUGGCCACACCAAGCCUUGACGGUACCCAAAGAAUAAGCACCGGCUAACUCUGUGCCAGCAGCCGCGGUAAUACAGAGGGUGCAAGCGUUAAUCGGAUUUACUGGGCGUAAAGGGUGCGUAGGUGGUUUGUAAGUCGGAUGUGAAAGCCUGGGGCUCAACCUCAGAAUUGCACUCGAUACUGCAAGACUAGAGUUCGGUAGAGGGCGGCGGAAUUCCCGGUGUAGCGGUGAAAUGCGUAGAUAUCAGGAGGAACAUCAAUGGCGAAGGCAGCCGCCUGGGCCUGAACUGACACUGAGACACGAAAGCGUGGGUAGCAAACAGGAUUAGAUACCCUGGUAGUCCCGACGCUAGUAACGAGUAGAGAACGUACGUACGUUACGGUUUCGGUUUUACGUUAACGUUACGGUUGGUCGUCGAGCGUAACGACGAGUAAGUUACGUUCCGUCCGUCGGGUAGGGUACGGGCCGGCCGACGGUUAAGGUAACGUACGUUAAAGAAAGUUAGUUACGGUUCGUGAGACGNGCGACGGACGACGACGAGGGAGGAGG
rnacentral:rRNA from 1 species